rnacentral:rRNA from 1 species
CCUACGGGAGGCAGCAGUGAGGAAUAUUGGACAAUGGGCGCAAGCCUGAUCCAGCCAUGCCGCGUGCAGGAUGACGGUCCUAUGGAUUGUAAACUGCUUUUAUACGAGAAGAAACACCCCUACGUGUAGGGACUUGACGGUAUCGUAAGAAUAAGGAUCGGCUAACUCCGUGCCAGCAGCCGCGGUAAUACGGAGGAUCCAAGCGUUAUCCGGAAUCAUUGGGUUUAAAGGGUCCGUAGGCGGUUUAGUAAGUCAGUGGUGAAAUCUCCCCGCUCAACGGGGAAACGGCCAUUGAUACUGCUAGACUUGAAUUAUUAGGAAGUAACUAGAAUAUGUAGUGUAGCGGUGAAAUGCUUAGAGAUUACAUGGAAUACCAAUUGCGAAGGCAGGUUACUACUAAUGGAUUGACGCUGAUGGACGAAAGCGUGGGUAGCGAACAGGAUUAGAUACCCUGGUAGUCCACGCCGUAAACGAUGGAUACUAGCUGUUGGGUGACAAACUCAGUGGCUAAGCGAAAGUGAUAAGUGUCCCACUGGGGAGUACGUUCGCAAGAUGAAACUCAAAUGAAUUGACGG